rnacentral:lncRNA from 1 species
UGCCCUGGUUGGGCUCUGGCAACGCACCCCCCACACCCCCCCAAUCCUCCCCCCCGAGGCCCGAGCUUGCCCCCAACCCCGGGGCUACUUGGGGGGGGGGUGGGGUGGGGUGUGUGUGUGCUGUCCCCCCCGUGACACCCCUGAUCCCAGGUGGCUCCCCGGGGGAGGGUGAUGGAGGGAGGGAAGGGGAGAUGAUCACCUCUUGCUGCCUCCUCAGCAGAGAAAGGCGAAGACAUGGCUCUAGGGGAAAAGAAAAAAGAAAAAAAACAAGAAAAAAAAACCAAGGAAAAAAAAAAAAAGCCUCUGCAGGGAUUUCGGAUCUCGGCAAACAGGGGAAAGAAAACAAAGGCAGUCGGUUUUGUCCUGUUCUGUGUGCUUGGAAGAUUAGAUCAGCCAAGAGUCACAGGCAGAGAUUUUCUAAGCGACUUCCUCGGGCAGGCACAGCAGGAUUUCAUCUUCGACUCUUCAGGCUUUCCUGUCUUCGACUUCCAGAGCCACCAGCGAGGAAGUGCCAUUUCAAACUCUUCUUCAACUUUCUCUGUCAGGUACCAGGAACUCAUUUCACUGGAAAGGGAAGAUCCAAAACUCUCAAGCAUGGCUUCAAGACCACCAGCUUUAGGACAACACACUGAUGGACACAGCAAAAUAGCGAGAAGCGCUUACACUGGGAACUGAGGUCCAUGUUGGCUGCACGAGUGAAGAGCUGUCUUCAGCUCUGAACAUUUAUCAUCUGGAGAAGGAUUUGGGAGGACUUUGCAAAGCCAAUCAGCUGCUGAAGGCCUGCUUUCAAGAGUGACUGGCAUUAGGGCACCUGAAGAGUUGUGUCACCUUCUCCGUAAUAAUUUCAGCAAGAGCACGUAGAUACAUCAUUUUUUCUUCCUGUGAAAACUGUUUCAGUUUAAUUGAAUUGAUGUUAGGUUGGUACUACCCCUUCUGUGGACGCUUCUAACAACAUUUUACAAUAGCUAUUUGUUUCUUCUUGCAAAUUGCUCCUUUUUGCAAGGGUAAUUUAGUGGAAUCUUUCAGUAAGAACAGCAAUAUCUACUACAGCUUUGUUGUCUCCCUGCAAAUUAUUGGUAGAAAAAGCUGAUGAUAAUGCUAAUUAACUGUUUUUCUUUUGCACGUUCAAAUAUCAGGCAUCCGUAGCUUGGGCCCCGGAGCUGGUUAUUUCUGAGCAAUUUUACAGAGUUUGUAUUUAAUUAAUAAGUAAUGUGAUUCUUUUCCUUUUCAGCUUCUAACAAGCGAUAACAGCCUAUACUUCAGAAAGUCAAGUACGAUGCUUUCUUCUCCCCAGCAAGUACUUAGCUCUAGGCCUGGAAAAGGGCCAGAGCACACAGGGACACUGUUCCGCAGUAACAUUUUGUACCUAAUUAAAAAAAUAACAACAACAACAGCCGACUCUCACAUGAAAUAAAAUGUCCUUCUUUUCCUCCUUCUCUAAACA